rnacentral:rRNA from 1 species
GAUGAACGCUGGCGGCGUGCCUAACACAUGCAAGUCGAGCGAACGGACGAGAAGCUUGCUUCUCUGAUGUUAGCGGCGGACGGGUGAGUAACACGUGGAUAACCUACCUAUAAGACUGGGAUAACUUCGGGAAACCGGAGCUAAUACCGGAUGAUAUUUUGAACCGCAUGGUUCAAAAGUGAAAGACGGUCUUGCUGUCACUAAUAGAUGGAUCCGCGCUGCAUUAGCUAGUUGGUAAGGUAACGGCUUACCAAGGCAACGAUGCAUAGCCGACCUGAGAGGGUGGUCGGCCAGACGGGAACUGGGACACGGUCCAGACUCCUACGGUAGGCAGCAGUAGGGAAUCUUCCGCAAUGGGCGAAAGCCUGACAGAGCAACGCCGCGUGAGUGAUGAAGGUCUUCGGAUCGGAAAACUCUGUUAUUAGGGAAGAACAUAUGUGUAAGUAACUGUGCACAUCUUGACGGUACCUAAUCAGAAAGCCACGGCUAACUACGUG